rnacentral:rRNA from 1 species
UACGGGGGGGAGCAAGCGUUGUUCGGAUUUACUGGGCGUAAAGGGCGCGUAGGCGGCUUUAUAAGUCGGGGGUGAAAGCCUGUGGCUCAACCACAGAAUUGCCUUCGAUACUGUAGAGCUUGAGACCGGAAGAGGUAAGUGGAACUGCGAGUGUAGAGGUGAAAUUCGUAGAUAUUCGCAAGAACACCAGUGGCGAAGGCGGCUUACUGGUCCGGUUCUGACGCUGAGGCGCGAAAGCGUGGGGAGCAAACAGG